rnacentral:rRNA from 1 species
GACGAACGCUGGCGGCGUGCUUAACACAUGCAAGUCGAACGGAAAGGCCCUGCUUGCAGGGUACUCGAGUGGCGAACGGGUGAGUAACACGUGGGUGAUCUGCCCUGCACUUCGGGAUAAGCCUGGGAAACUGGGUCUAAUACCGGAUAGGAGCCAUUUUUAGUGUGAUGGUUGGAAAGUUUUUUCGGUGUAGGAUGAGCUCGCGGCCUAUCAGCUUGUUGGUGGGGUAAUGGCCUACCAAGGCGGCGACGGGUAGCCGGCCUGAGAGGGUGGACGGCCACAUUGGGACUGAGAUACGGCCCAGACUCCUACGGGAGGCAGCAGUGGGGAAGAUUGCACAAUGGGCGCAAGCCUGAUGCAGCGACGCCGCGGGGGGGAGGACGGCCUUCGGGUUGUAAACUCCUUUCGCUAGGGACGAAGCUUUUUGUGACGGUACCUAGAGAAGAAGCACCGGCUAACUACGUG